GUCGAGGAUCUUUUGCAAUGGGCGAAAGCCUGACAAAGCGACGCUGCGUGGAGGAUGAAGGCCUUCGGGUUGUAAACUCCUGUCAUUUGGGAACAAUGAUCCUGCUUUGAAUAGAGGCGGGAUUUGAUGGUACCGAAAGAGGAAGCCACGGCCAACUCUGUGCCAGCAGCCGCGGUAAUACAGAGGUGGCGAGCGUUGUUCGGAUUUACUGGGCGUAAAGGGUGCGUAGGUGGUUUCGUGUGUCGGAUGUGAAAUGCCACGGCUUAACCGUGGAAGUGCAUUCGAAACUACGGGACUCGAGUGCAGGAUGGGAGAGCGGAAUUCUUGGUGUAGCGGUGAAAUGCGUUGAUAUCAAGAAGAACACCGGUGGCGAAGGCGGCUCUCUGGAAUGCAACUGACACUGAGGCACGAAAGCUGGGGGAGCAAACAGGAUUAGAAACCCUAGUAGUCC
rnacentral:rRNA from 1 species